ACGAGAGAAAUAGUGUCUCAAUAAAAAUUAAUGAAUUUUAUUUUUAAGUGAAAAAGCUUAAAUAAUUUUAAAAGACGAGAAGACCCUAUAGAGUUUAACAUUAAAUUUAUAGUAAGCAAUUGGAAUCUUUUAUUAUUAUAAAAAUUUUUGUUUAGCUGGGGUGGCUUUAAAAUUGAUUUAACUUUUAUUUAUAAAAACACUUAUUUGUGAUUAUUGAUCCA
rnacentral:rRNA from 1 species